rnacentral:lncRNA from 10 species
CCACCGCACCUGGCCUGUGUAUUUACCUUGUAUGCUACUACAUUGCUGAUUUCAUUUAUUAGGUUUUUUUUUUAAUUCUUUUUUAAAAAAGAAAAAAGAGACAGAGUCUCGCUCUCUUGCUCUGUCGCCCAGGCUGGAGUGCAGUGGCACAAUCUUGGCUCACUGCAACCUCUGCCUCCAGGGUUCAAGUGAUUCUUGUGCCUCAGCCUCCCAAGUAGCUGGGACCACAGGUGCCCACCACCAUGCCUGGCUAAUUUUUGUAUUUUUUUGUAGAGAUGGGGUUUUGCCAGGUUUUGCCAUGUUGGUGAGGCUGGUCUCGAACUCCUGACCUCAAGUGAUCUGCACACGUCUGACUCCCAAAGUGCUGGGAUUAUAGGCACAAGCCACCAUGCCUGGCCUCAUUUAUUAGUUCUAACGUGUGUGUGUGCACACACGCCCUUUAGGCAUUUCUACUUAUAAGAUCCUAUCUGCAAAUAGAGAUAAUUUUACUUCUUUCUUUUCAAUUUUGAUGCCUUUUAUUUCCUUUUCUUGCCUAAGUGUGCCGGUUAGAACUUCUAGCACUGUGUUGCAUAGAAGUAAUGAAUGCAGACAUCCUUGUCUUGUUCCUAAUUUUAGAGGAAAAGCUUUCAGUUUUCACCAUUGAGUGUGAUGUGGCUUUUUCAUAUAUGACUUUUAUUAUGUUGAGGUAGUUUUCUCUAUUCUUAGUUUGCUGAAUGUUUUUAAUCAUGAAAGCGUGUUGAAUUUUGUCAGUGCUUUUUCUCCAUUAACUGAAAAAAAUCAUACAUUUUUGGAAAUGGAAAUGCAGCCACAAAUAAUGGCCAGCCUGGGCUCUCCUGGUGCCCACUUGCCCCAGCCGGCCUCUUACACCCCGGGCUCUGCUCCGCUCUGAGGCUGCAGCCCAGACUGCCUGUGCCCCACACUUACCAUGGAUGCAGGGUCAGUGCGCCCCUCUGGAGCUGACAGCCCAGCCUGUGCCCAGGACCUUUCUGCCUUCCCUUCCCGCCGUGUCCUGAGAGCUCACCGUGCCCUCUGUGGCCCCGACCCCAAGGCUUGUUUGUUUCUUGGCCUGCUCCUCCCUGCCCUGCGCCAUACGGAACACACAGUAGGUGCUCACUGGGGAGUGAAGGAAACGCCCACCACUGAGUGGCUGCUCAGGGGCUGAGAACCGAAACUUUGUUUAGGUUUUCUUCUGUGUUUUCCUUGCCUCAGGUUUAAACUUUUUUCUUAAUCUUUAUCUUCACAAAGGUUGAAAAAGAUCAUCUAGCAAAGCCUUUUUUCCCAGCUACAUAUAAGGAAUUUGAAAGUCGCAUAAAAUGGUUAAGAAAAUGUGCCAAGAUUACCUCAGUAAUUCUGGUCUGUGUUCUCAGGAGACCCUGGAAAUAAACAAUGGUAAGGUACAAUCUCCCAUGGCAGAAAGAGUUUCCCUCAGAGUUAGCCAAAACAAGGGCCAGGCGCAGUGGCUUACACUUGUAAUCCCAGCACUCUGGGAGGCUGAGGCAGAUGUAUCACUUGAGGUCAGGGGUUCAAGACCAGCCUGGCCAACAUGACAAAACCCUAAUACAAAAAUUAGCCGGGCAUGGUGGUACAUGCCUCUAAUUCCAGUUAUUCAGGAGGCUGAGACACAAGAAUUCAUUUGAACCUGGGAGGCGAAGGUUGCAGUGAGCUGAGAUUGUACCACUGCACUCCAGCAUAUGCGACAGAACGAGACUGUCUCAAAAAAAAAGUCCAUGAAUGAAGGAGAAUGUUUUUAGUAAUGAUAUUUUCCUAGUCAGCCUCAUUUUAGCUUCUUCCCAUCAAGUGAAAUUUUUUUUUCUUAAAGCAAUAAAUGCGACCGGGCGCGGUGGCUCACGCCUGUAAUCGCAGCACUUUGGGAGGCCAAGGCAGGUGGAUCACAAGGUCAGGAGAUCAAGACCAUCCUCCUGGCUAACAAGGUGAAACCCUGUCUCUACUAAAAAAAAUACAAAAAAUUAGCCGGGCGUGGUGGCAUGUACCUGUAGUCCCAGCUACUCAGGAGGCUGAGGCAGGAAAAUCGCUUGAACCCAGGAAGUGGAGGUUGCAGUGAGCCAAGAUCAUACCACUGCACUCCAGCCUGGGCGACAGAGGGAGACUCCGUCUCAAAAAGAAAAAAAGCAAUAAAUGCUCUUCCAGAAAACUCAAAAAUGAAGAUAAGCUAAAAGAAAAUGGAAAGCACCAGAAUACCAGAAUCUUUCCACUCACUGAUGAUCAGAGUUAAUACCUCAGGUACCCUUUUCGUCUUUCUGUUUUUGAGACAAGGUUUCACUCUGACUCUCAGGCUGAAGUACAGUGGUGCAAAUACAGCUCACUGUGGCCUCGAUUUCCCAGGCUCAAGCAAUCCUCCCUUCUGGGCCUCCCAAAGUGCUGGAAUUAUAGGCAUGAACCACUACACCCAGCCCUGUUUUCUUCUUUACGUGGGUUUUUGGGGAUGGGUUAUAUAGGAGCCAUUUCAUUAUUGUUUGUGGUUUUUCUGACACAAUUCUCAUUUCAGUGUCACUGUUAUCAUCAAACUGCUUUUAGCUACAUUGGAUUUUUUGGGGUUUUUUGCAUAGAGUCUCGCUCUGUCGCCCAGGCUGGAGUGCAGUGGUGCAAUCUCGGUUCACUG